rnacentral:lncRNA from 1 species
UUUUUUUUUUUUUUAAUGAAACUCCUUAUAAUCUUACUUAGGACAAAAACCCAUGCAAAUGUAUUGCUCCUAUAGGAGAUACCUGUGUUUAAAACAAGAAAAAAGACAAACCAUUAGGUUUUAAAGCUUUUUAUACUCUGACAAACUAGUUCCUUAGCAAAAAAUAAUCCUAAAAUCUAACUUGAAAAACUAUGGUGGGAAUAAAUAGAGUCACUGGAUUACUUGUAUUUUGUAGUUACUACAUUAAGGACAAUAACAAUGAGUAAAUAAAUCAUCCUAAAUUGUAGAAUAAAAAAUAGGUCCAGGCUACAAAUAAAACAUUGCUAAGAAUAAAUUUUUGAUAACUUGAGGUGAAACUGUCAAACAUUCAAAAUUUAAUUUGAUGCUUCCAUACAUGGGGAAAAAAAACUUAGCUAGUUAUGUCUUCUGAUAUUUUAAUUAACUAUGAAAGAAAUAAAAAAUUUCAUUCUAAGAAACUAUACAUCAAAGGCAUAUCCCUGAGGAAUAGCUCUCUAUGUAACUUACUCUAAUGUAGUCUCUGCAUAGGCAAGCUGACCAAAGAAGUUCAGCAUCUUCCUAAACUAUAUUUUGCCACUGACUGACGUGCCAUGCAACAUCUGUUGCCUUUCAUUCUCUAUUUUUUAAAAAUUAUAUACCAAUAUUGAUUUCUUAGGUUCGACAGAUAUUACCAUAGUAAUGUAAAAUAAUAACAAUAGGGAAAACCCCAGAACUCGCGGUACUGUUUUUACAAUUUUUCUAUAAAUCUAAAGUUAUUUCAAAAUGAAACGUUUACUUUAAAAAAAUGAAGUAAAAAGAACCAUGCCACUGCUUUUGGACUAUAAAAUAAGGAGUACUAAAACAACUUCACAGAUAUAAACACCAUUUCUUUGCAACAGGGGCCACUAUUAUACUCCUCUUAUGAAACUAAAAUUUUCUCUGCAAAACAACAGAUGGAAUUUUAGGAACGGAACACUUCACCGAUUCUGAUUUUCCUGGAUAUAUAUAUAUAUAUAUUAAAACACUCAAGUAAACAUAUCACUAAGCAAAGUAUGUUCACAUUUAAUAAUUUUAUCAUAUGCUAAAUAAAUUAUAUCAUAUGCUCUCUACAAAGUAUAUGCAACUGAAGAAUAUAUGAUGUUUUUUUUCCCAAAAUAUUUACAAGGUUGUUUUACUGCUCUCUAUUGAUUACUAUUACAACAUUCAAUUGUGAUAAUGAACUAAAAUAUGUCACUAUUGAAGGCAUAGAAAAUAAAAUAUAUGAGUACCUUACCCAAACUUAAUUACUUCAGUUUUAAGCCAAAUAGUUAUUUAUUAAGAGAAAGAGCAAAAUUUAAUUUGCCUCACAGUAUAAAAGCUACUGAAUUGUUGCCUACAAGAACCUUAUCAAAGUUGGGAGCAAUAUAAUUUAAUGUUAUUAAAGUGAUGAUUUUUCUCUAAAUAGAAACUUGGUGUUUUUUUUAAAUAGAAACUUUAUGUAUCCAUAGACAAAUUAUGUUAAAGAGCAUUUUCAUAACAUAAUAUUUUUAAAAUAUCACUAAAUCAAUGUGAAUCUCUUUUAAAUACGUUUCCACCUGCCACCAGGUACCCCCUCCCUCACAAGGACCAUUGUUGGUUAAAUUGAAAGGAGAAAGAAACUGCUUAUGAAAAAAAAAAAGCAAAAAUAAGGGAUAGGCAUGUAGGAGAGAAAUGAAGCAUUGAUCACUGUAGAAGAAUGAGCACAAAACUUCCUGAAAUGAUAGGAAACCUGAUGAUAGGGUACCUGCAUAAUUAGGGACAUUAAAUUGGGUGCAAAAUUGCACAGUACAAAUCCUUUACUUUCAGUUGAACUACACAAUCAUCUGAACUCUAGGGGGGAAAAACAUCUACUUUCUUUCUUCUAUUUCAUUGCUUAAAAUGGAGUGACUAAAAACUUAAAGCUGGAAGGAUCAGUUCUCUCAAAGAUGUAAAGAUAACCCUAGGUGAAUUAGUGAGGUGUUUUUUUUUUUCAACAUUCACAUAGAGUACAAAGUGAAAUGAGCAUAAUGUAAAUCAACUCAUUGUUUAGGCCCUUUCAAAUUAGUUGCCAAAAGAAAAGUGAAAACUUGAUAAGCAGGUUCCAAUUUCUAUGUGUUGAUUUAGAAAUCUUAAAGCUUGUGGGAGCUUAAUUCAUUUAAAGAAAGAAAUUUAAAGAGAAGAAAAGUAAACAAGGAAAAUGCUAUGCAAUGAAACACUGAUGUGAAUGGGGUAGAAAGGAUUUCUUUUAAAAAACAAAACAAUAAAGAGUUCCAUUGUGCCUUUAAAUUACAAAUUUAGAUUUCUUAUAGUUUGAGUCUGAUUUCCUUUUGAGCAUCAAAAUGUCAUCAUCCAUUUCAAUAUUCAAACCGUUGAUGUUGUUUCUUAGUAUCUUGGGGGGAAAUUAAAUAAAAACCAAAAUCUUAAAAAAAUUCGUUCACAUUUUCUAACAGGUAGAUGACUAUUUUGAAUAAAGCCGCAAAGGCAUUUUUUUUCUUUUAACUUGCCCCCCAUGAAAAGUCCAUUUCCAAACUUGCAAUUAGAUAGUUCAGAGCUCUGAUUGCAGCAGCUCCCAGUCUUGACCCUUUUUCUCAGGAUUCAAGCAAAAAAUAAGUGAAGAGAAAUGGCAAGACUAAGUUCAGAUAUUCAGAGACAAGUCCUAGGUCGCUCCUCUUUCCAGGAAACUAUGGUCCCAGGUUUCAUCAGUGUGUACUUUGUCUUAAUAGGAAUACUAUUUAAUCAUCAAAGCAAAUAUUUUCUAACCUUCAGAUAGAAGAUCUUUAGUAGACCUAUUUUUUAAGUA